UACGUAGGGAGCAAGCGUUGUCCGGAUUUACUGGGUGUAAAGGGUGCGUAGGCGGGCUUGCAAGACAGAUGUGAAAUCCCCGGGCUUAACCUGGGAACCGCAUAUGUGACUGCUUGGCUAGAGUGCGUCAGAGGGAGGUGGAAUUCCACGUGUAGCAGUGAAAUGCGUAGAUAUGUGGAAGAACACCGAUGGCGAAGGCAGCCUCCUGGGACGCAACUGACGCUCAUACACGAAAGCGUGGGGAGCAAACAGG
rnacentral:rRNA from 1 species